CUCCUAAACGUUCUGGGCUGCACGCGCAAUACAAUGAUGCCGGAAACGAGUUGGCACUCUUCUGAGGCCUGCUUCGAAAGGAGUGGGAAAUCUUUGAAAACGGCAUCGUGGCUAGGAUAGAUGAUUGCAAUUAUUUGCCUUGAAUCCGGAAUACUUAGUAGUGGCGUUUCAUUAGAACGUCGCGACUACGUCCCUGUCAUUUGUACACACCGCCCGUCGUUGCUACCGAUUGGAACGAGUCCAGAGGAGUUGGGAGUAACGCUAAGCUCUGCUUAUGCUGUUGCAAACUUCUCCGAUCGCCUCGUUCUAGAGGAAGCAAAAGUCGUAACA
rnacentral:rRNA from 1 species